rnacentral:rRNA from 1 species
GCCUGGGGAGUACGGCCGCAAGGUUAAAACUCAAAUGAAUUGACGGGGGCCCGCACAAGCGGUGGAGCAUGUGGUUUAAUUCGAUGCAACGCGAAGAACCUUACCUACUCUUGACAUCCAGGGAACUUAGCAGAGAUGGUUUGGUGCUUUCGGGAACUUUGAGACAGGUGCUGCAUGGCUGUUGUCAGCUCGUGUUGUGAAAUGUUGGGUUAAGUCCCGCAACGAGCGCAACCCUUAUCCUUUGUUCCCAGCGUUUCGGCUGGGAAUUCAAAGGAGACUGCCGGUGAUAAACCGGAGGAAGGUGGGGA